UUUUUCGUAAACAUUGGCCUAAGGGGAGUAGUUUACUUUUUUAAUUCUUGUUAAUUUUAGAAACAAAACAAAAAUGUCUAGUCUUACGCGUUUUACGGGUGGCGUUAAAUGUUAUUAUUUAAAUUGCAACAAUCUUAGGCGGAAAUGCAGUUUGAAAAUGUUUAAGUUUCCCAUUAAAAGACCAAAUAUUUGUCACGAUUGGGUUUUUAACUGUGCGCGCUAAAGUGACCACCAGUUUGUGCUCCCCAGUUUUUGUGCGUGAAAGAUAAAAAUAAGGCAGUUUUAAGACAUGAAACCAAAGGGAAAAUUUCAUCAAUACGAUGAAGACGCACUAGUACAAGCGGUCAAUGCAGUUAGAAACGGGGGAAAAUUGCGCGAAACAUGUAGACAGUACGGGGUCCCCAAGUCAACGGUCCAGGACCGCAUUAAAGGAAAAGUUGUCGACCUUUGCAAAACGAUGGGGCCGGAUCCAGUUUUGAAAAAAGAAAUUGAAGAAAAAUUAGUUGAAUGGAUUGAAAACUUAGCCAGUUGCGGUUUUCUGAUAAAGAAGCAAGUAUUACUAGAUACAGUUCAGAAAAUUGUAAAAGAAGAAAAAUUAAAAACAGUGUUCACUAAUGGUCGACCCGGACAAAGUUGGUUCUCCGGCUUUAUGAAGCGACAUUCGCGUUUAGCUUUAAAAAAUGCAGAAUCCCUAGAAAAAUACAGAGCACAAAUAACUGAAGAAUACAUUAGAUCUUGGUUUCAAGAUCUAAAAUCUUUUUUAAUUAAGUCUAACGCUGCAGACAUUUUGGAAGAUCCAAGUCGGAUGCUGAACGGCGAUGAAAGUGGGUUCUGCCUGUGUCCAAAGAGUGGGAAAGUAUUGGGCGUAAGAGGACGUGAUCUCAAUAUUGUUAAAACCGGAAGCAACAAGGAAAAUUUAACGGUAUUAAUUACUUUUACGGCCGAUGGUAGACUUUGUCCCCCACUCGUCAUAUUUCCAUAUCUGUUUUUGAAGGUGGUAGACAAUGGUACAGUGAAAACAUCUUGUCGGACUUGCAUUGUCUUAUUUAUUUGUUGUAACACGACGUUUCGGUUGGUAAGUAUCUCCAACCGUUAUCAAGGGUAAACUGUCUCUUAGUUUUUGGCAAGUGAAGUCUAUUUUGUCAAAGAUUGGUUGAUAGUCUUCCUCCAAUGUAACUUCUUUGGUUUCUUCGAAUCGCUGAAUGCAUUCGAUUUCUAUUUUUGCUUUCUUCCAACGGUGGUAGCUAAGUUGAGA